CUUUUCCUGUGCUCGGGGCCAGAACCAAAGCUGGCUGGUGUGAUGGAGGGCCUCCUUGGGACACAGGGGCUCCAGGUCGGGACUUGAGAUGGUUCGUAGAAAUCUCAAUGGGAAAAGAAAUCUGGAUGUUUCAAAACGUACUUCUUUUCAUUCUGCAUGUAUGGCAUGGAUUGAAUAGCAGUCAUCCAGAAAGCAGAAAUACCAGUGUCAGAGUCAGAACGCUUAUACAGGGUAGAGAUUUGCUGUUCCAUUUCACUCUUCUAUCCUGGUGUGACUUUGUGACCUCAAGAAAUCCCUUUCUAUCAUGAAAGCUGUCUCCAAGAAUUGGCACCUUUGUGAUUACAUCUCAUUUCUGGUGCUGGAGAGCUGCAUCCAGGAGCUCAAGCUGUGAAGUGGUGAACAAAGCCCUCUGCUAUGUUGUGCUUCUUCACAUAGAUGAAAAUGGACACAAAGAAGCUGG
ensembl:lncRNA